rnacentral:rRNA from 1 species
CUUGCACUACACAUAAGAGGUCCAGCCUGCCCAGUGACAUUGUUCAACGGCCGCGGUAUCCUAACCGUGCGAAGGUAGCGUAAUCACUUGUUCUUUAAAUAAGGACUAGUAUGAACGGCAUCACGAGGAUUAUACUGUCUCCUCUUCCUAAUCAGUGAAACUAAUCUCUCCGUGAAGAAGCGGGGGUAAUAUUAUAAGACGAGAAGACCCUAUGGAGCUUUAGAUUAAACGACACUUGUUUGCACUAAUUUUAAAUUCCAGAAAAAUAUGCCCACUUAACAAGAUAACCGUCAAUCUUAGGUUGGGGUGACCGCGGAGCAUAAAACAACCUCCAUGUUGAAUGACAUUUACUGUCUUAUUCACGAGCAACCACUCUAAAAAUCAAUAUACUGACAUCUAUUGACCCAAUUUUUGAUCAACGAAC